CCUACGGGCGGCUGCAGUGGGGAAUAUUGCACAAUGGGCGCAGGCCUGAUGCAGCCAUGCCGCGUGUGUGAAGAAGGCCUUCGGGUUGUAAAGCACUUUCAGCGGGGAGGAAGGCGUUAAGGUUAAUAACCUAGGCGAUUGACGUUACCCGCAGAAGAAGCACCGGCUAACUCCGUGCCAGCAGCCGCGGUAAUACGGAGGGUGCAAGCGUUAAUCGGAAUUACUGGGCGUAAAGCGCACGCAGGCGGUCUGUCAAGUCGGAUGUGAAAUCCCCGGGCUCAACCUGGGAACUGCAUUCGAAACUGGCAGGCUAGAGUCUUGUAGAGGGGGGUAGAAUUCCAGGUGUAGCGGUGAAAUGCGUAGAGAUCUGGAGGAAUACCGGUGGCGAAGGCGGCCCCCUGGACAAAGACUGACGCUCAGGUGCGAAAGCGUGGGGAGCAAACAGGAUUAGAUACCCGUGUAGUC
rnacentral:rRNA from 1 species